rnacentral:rRNA from 1 species
CCUACGGGUGGCAGCAGUGAGGAAUAUUGGUCAAUGGGCGCGACCCUGAACCAGCCACGUAGCGUGAAGGAUGAAUGCCCUCGGGGUUGUAAGCUUCUUUUAUAAAGGAAUAAAGUGUGGCACGUGUGGCAUUUUGUAUGUACUUUAUGAAUACGGAUCCGCCAACUCCGUGCCGGCAGCCGCGGUAAUACGGAGGAUCCGAGCGUUAUCCGGAUUUAUUGGGUGUAAAGGGAGCGUAGAUGGGUUGUUAAGUCAGUUGUGAAAGUUUGCGGCUCAACCGUAAAAUUGCAAUUGAUACUGGGAGCGUUGAGUACAGUAGAGGUAGGCGGAAUUCGUGGUGUAGCGGUGAAAUGCGUAGAUAUCACGAAGAACUCCGAUUGCGAAGGCAGCCUACUGGACUGCAACUGACAUUGAGGCUCGAAAGUGUGGGUAUCAAACAGGAUUAGAUACCCCAGUAGUC